rnacentral:lncRNA from 1 species
AGGGCGUCCCGGACGCGGCCACGUUGCAGUCUGCCCAACAAGAUUAUUGAGUGCUUGAGCCCAGAGAUCCAGCUUCUCUUACAUGAAGAUUAUCCAGAUUAGCCCUGAGCUAACAUCUGCCAAUUCUCCUCUUUUUUCUGUGGAAGACUGGCCCUGAGCUAACAUCCGUGCCCAUCUUCCUCUACUUUAUACGUGGGAUGCCUACCACAGCAUGGCUUGCCAUGCGAUGCCAUGUCCGCACCCGGGAUCCGAACCUGCAAACCCCGGGCCGCCGAAGUGGAACGUGCGCGCUUAACUGCUGCACCACCGGGCUGGCCCCAUGUUAAGAAAUUCAAGUGUGCUUUGGUACUCCCCCUCAAGAAGGACACUUGAAUAUUUUACUUCAAAUGUCAGCCCAGAGUAUAAUAAUAUAUUAGAAG